rnacentral:rRNA from 1 species
GCUGGCGGCAUGCUUAACACAUGCAAGUCGCACGAAGGUUUCGGCCUUAGUGGCGGACGGGUGAGUAACGCGUAGGUAUCUAUCCAUGGGUGGGGGAUAACAGCGGGAAACUGCUGCUAAUACCGCAUGACACCUGAGGGUCAAAGGCGCAAGUCGCCUGUGGAGGAGCCUGCGUACGAUUAGCUUGUUGGUGGGGUAAUGGCCUACCAAGGCGACGAUCGUUAGCUGGUCUGAGAGGAUGAUCAGCCACAUUGGGACUGAGACACGGCCCAAACUCCUACGGGAGGCAGCAGUGGGGAAUAUUGGACAAUGGGCGAAAGCCUGAUCCAGCAAUGCCGCGUGUGUGAAGAAGGUCUUAGGAUUGUAAAGCACUUUCGACGGGGACGAUGAUGACGGUACCCGUAGAAGAAGCCCCGGCUAACUUCGUGCCAGCAGCCGCGGUAAUACGAAGGGGGCUAGCGUUGCUCGGAAUGACUGGGCGUAAAGGGCGCGUAGGCGGAUUGUUUAGUUAGGUGUGAAAUUCCUGGGCUUAACCUGGGGACUGCACUUAAUACAGGCAGUCUAGAGUGGGAUAGAGGGUUGUGGAAUUCCCAGUGUAGAGGUGAAAUUCGUAGAUAUUGGGAAGAACACCGGUGGCGAAGGCGGCAACCUGGAUCUUUACUGACGCUGAGGCGCGAAAGCGUGGGGAGCAAACAGGAUAGAUACCCUGGUAGUCCACGCUGUAAACGAUGUGUGCUGGAUGUUGGGAAACCUAGUUUCUCAGUGUCGUAGCUAACGCGAUAAGCACACCGCCUGGGGAGUACGGCCGCAAGGUUGAAACUCAAAGGAA